AAAAAAGAAAGAAAGAAGUAGUCUCGAAGAACUCUGGAUACCCACAUUAGCUAUUCUAAGCUAAUUCAACCUAGAGAUUAUAUAAAGCCUUGAAUUUUUUUACUAGUGGGCAUUCCUUAAAAAACAAGAAAUUUGGGUUACAUAAACAAAAUAUGUUAUGCGAGUUGAAAAAUUGUAGAGAACCCGCAAAUUCGAGUCUUCUCUUCUCCUUCAACUUCAGAAUCUAGAGGCAGAACUAUGUACUUCGGAUUCAUCUCAACCACUUGAUGAAGAUAUUUCGGUUGAUGAGCUUAAAAUUUUGAGUGAAGGAGAAUUAGUGGAUAUGGCUAUGAAGGAAGCAUUACAGGGGGAGAACCAUGAUUGUCUCUCGCAGCCUUCACAAGAGCCGGUGCGAGAGUUCGGUUUGGCUAUGACUCUCUGGAAGCUCAUUUCCACAUCUUGUGUUUGCAUAUCUCUUCCUUUAUUCUUUGUGCUUUACAUUUACGGUUUAUUGUAUUUGAUUAUGCACAAGAGUGUUGUUUUGGUUUAUUGUGUUUCAUUUACUCUUAUUUUACACUUAGAUAAGUAGAGUAAAAGCAAUUUUGUUGGAUGUUUAAAAUUGAGGGUCUAAACAAGUUAUAGUGUUUUACACUAUUGAGCUCUAAGUAAUUACAAAUAGAAAGGAAGUUAGAACCCUAAAUGUCA